UACGGAGGGUGCAAGCGUUGUCCGGAUUUAUUGGGUUUAAAGGGUGCGUAGGUGGUUUAUUAAGUCAGUGGUGAAAGACGGUCGCUCAACGAUUGCAGUGCCAUUGAAACUGAUAGACUUGAGUUUCGUUAAGGUAGGUGGAAUUGAUAGUGUAGCGGUGAAAUGCAUAGAUAUUAUCAAGAACUCCAAUUGCGUAGGCAACUUACUAGUCGAAAACUGACACUGAUGCACGAAAGUGUGGGUAUCAAACAGG
rnacentral:rRNA from 1 species